rnacentral:rRNA from 1 species
GGGAGGCAGCAGUGGGGAAUAUUGGACAAUGGACCGAGAGUUUGAUCCAGCAAUUUUGUGUGCCCGAUGAAGUUUUUCGGAAUGUAAAGUGCUUUCAGUUGGGAAGAAAAAAAUGACGGUACCAACAGAAGAAGUGACGGCUAAAUACGUGCCAGCAGCCGCGGUAAUACGUAUGUCACGAGCGUUAUCCGGAUUUAUUGGGCGUAAAGCGCGUCUAGGUGGUUAUGUAAGUCUGAUGUGAAAAUGCAGGGCUCAACUCUGUAUUGCGUUGGAAACUGUAUAACUAGAGUACUGGAGAGGUAAGCGGAACUACAAGUGUAGAGGUGAAAUUCGUAGAUAUUUGUAGGAAUGCCGAUGGGGAAGCCAGCUUACUGGACAGAUACUGACGCUAAAGCGCGAAAGCGUGGGUAGCAAACAGGAUUAGAUACCCUGGUAGUCCACGCUGUAAACGAUGAUUACUAGGUGUUGGGGGUCGAACCUCAGCGCCCAAGCAAACGCGAUAAGUAAUCCGCCUGG